rnacentral:rRNA from 1 species
UACGUAGGUGGCAAGCGUUGUCCGGAGUUACUGGGUGUAAAGGGCGUGUAGGCGGGAAAAUAAGUCAGAUGUGAAAUUCCAUGGCUCAACUGUGGCGCUGCAUCUGAAACUAUUUUUCUUGAGUGAUGGAGAGGAAAGCGGAAUUCCUAGUGUAGCGGUGAAAUGCGUAGAUAUCUGGAGGAACACCGGUGGCGAAGGCGGCAUCCUGGACCGGCAUUGACGCUGAGGCGCGAAAGCUAGGGGAGCAAACGGG